UGAGGAAUAUUGGGCAAUGCCCGCAAGGGUGACCCAGCAACGCCGCGUGGAGGAUGAAUGUCGUAAGAUUGUAAAUUCCUGUUAGAGGGGAAGAAUAGUACCGGUUGGACCGGUAUAUGACUGUACCCUCAGAGAAAGCCCCGGCUAACUACGUGCCAGCAGCCGCGGUAAUACGUAGGGGGCAAGCGUUGUCCGGAUUUACUGGGUGUAAAGGGCGCGCAGGCGGGAUAAAAAGUCAGUGGUGAAAUCCUACAGCUUAACUGUAGAACUGCCUUUGAUACUUUUAUUCUUGAGUUCGGGAGAGAGAGACGGAAUUCCAGGUGUAGUGGUGAAAUACGUAGAUAUCUGGAAGAACACCAGUUGCGAAGGCGGUCUCUUGGUCCGACACUGACGCUGAGGCGCGAAAGCGUGGGGAGCAAACA
rnacentral:rRNA from 1 species